UCAUUAGUGGAGCAGUUCUGUUCACUGUCCCAGGGCCCGGAACCCAGCAUGGAUGGCCACCCCUGUGGGCUGUACACCUGGAAACUGCGGUCCCUCCAACUUCUCUGGGAGGGCUUUUGCUCUGAUUCACUCCCCUAGAGACCACACUCCUUCCUGUGAAUGAAUUUACUGUGUGCCAGGCACCGUGCAGUGCUCUGAGGAGGCCACGAUGAUGGACGCAGGAUGCAAAUCUCAUCAUUUUUUGCCCUCGUUAAAAUCUCUCACAGGCUUCCUACUUAUUUCAGGAUAAGGACUUCACUCCCUUGCCUGCCAUUCAGGGCUCCUCCUGUUCUGGCUCCCGACUCCAUCCCCAACCCCGCUCCCGGUCACUUAAGGCAACAAACACUUUGGAUUCUUUGCCUAACAAUAAAUAUGUCAGGGGAAAACGUG